rnacentral:tRNA from 1 species
UCUAUUAUGGCAGAAUAGUGCAAUGGACUUAAGCCCCAAAUAUAAAGGUUGGCCUUUUUAUAGAA